rnacentral:rRNA from 1 species
AUUGAACGCUGGCGGCAUGCUUUACACAUGCAAGUCGAACGGCAGCGGGGUAGUGCUUGCACUACUGCCGGCGAGUGGCGAACGGGUGAGUAAUAUAUCGGAACGUACCGAGUAAUGGGGGAUAACCAAUCGAAAGAUUGGCUAAUACCGCAUACGUCCUGAGGGAGAAAGCGGGGGAUCGCAAGACCUUGCGUUAUUCGAGCGGCCGAUAACUGAUUAGCUAGUUGGUGGGGUAAAGGCCUACCAAGGCGACGAUCAGUAGCGGGUCUGAGAGGACGAUCCGCCACACUGGGACUGAGACACGGCCCAGACUCCUACGGGAGGCAGCAGUGGGGAAUUUUGGACAAUGGGGGCAACCCUGAUCCAGCCAUGCCGCGUGUAUGAAGAAGGCCUUCGGGUUGUAAAGUACUUUUGUUAGGGAAGAAAAGGGAAGUGCUAAUACCACUUUUUGCUGACGGUACCUAAAGAAUAAGCACCGGCUAACUACGUGCCAGCAGCCGCGGUAAUACGUAGGGUGCGAGCGUUAAUCGGAAUUACUGGGCGUAAAGCGAGCGCAGACGGUUAUUUAAGCAGGAUGUGAAAUCCCCGGGCUCAACCUGGGAACUGCGUUCUGAACUGGAUAGCUAGAGUGUGUCAGAGGGGGGUAGAAUUCCACGUGUAGCAGUGAAAUGCGUAGAGAUGUGGAGGAAUACCGAUGGCGAAGGCAGCCCCCUGGGAUAACACUGACGUUCAUGCUCGAAAGCGUGGGUAGCAAACAGG